rnacentral:rRNA from 1 species
AGUGAACGCUGGCGGUAGGCCUAACACAUGCAAGUCGAACGGCAGCACAGUAAGAGCUUGCUCUUACGGGUGGCGAGUGGCGGACGGGUGAGGAAUACAUCGGAAUCUACUUUUUCGUGGGGGAUAACGUAGGGAAACUUACGCUAAUACCGCAUACGACCUACGGGUGAAAGCAGGGGAUCUUCGGACCUUGCGCGAUUGAAUGAGCCGAUGUCGGAUUAGCUAGUUGGCGGGGUAAAGGCCCACCAAGGCGACGAUCCGUAGCUGAUCUGAGAGGAUGAUCAGCCACACUGGAACUGAGACACUGUCCAGACUCCUACGGGAGGCAGCAGUGGGGAAUAUUGGACAAUGGGCGCAAGCCUGAUCCAGCCAUACCGCGUGGGUGAAGAAGGCCUUCGGGUUGUAAAGCCCUUUUGUUGGGAAAGAAAAGCAGCAGGUUAAUACCCCGCUGUUCUGACGGUACCCAAAGAAUAAGCACCGGCUAACUUCGUG